UACGUAAGUGGCGAGCGUUAUCCGGAAUUACUGGGCGUAAAGCGUGCGUAGGCGGUUUAGUGUGUGGGAAUUGAAAGCCCGGGGCUCAACUCCGGAUCCGGUUCCCAAACUGCUAGACUCGAGAGUAUCAGAGGAGAGCGGAAUUCCCGGUGUAGCGGUAAUAUGCGUAGAUAUCAGGAGGAACACCGGUGGCGAAGGCGGAUCUCUGGGCCGAUACUGACGCUGAGGAGCGAAAGCGUGGGGAGCGAACAGG
rnacentral:rRNA from 1 species